rnacentral:rRNA from 1 species
UACGAAGGGGGGCUAGCGUUGCUCGGAAUCACUGGGCGUAAAGGGUGCGUAGGCGGGUCUUUUAAGUCAGGGGUGAAAUCCUGGAGCUCAACUCCAGAACUGCCUUUGAUACUGAGGAUCUUGAGUUCGGGGAGAGGUGAGUGGAACUGCGAGUGUAGAGGUGAAAAUUCGUAGAUAUUCGCAAGAACACCAGUGGCGAAGGCGGCUCACUGGCCCGAUACUGACGCUGAGGCACGAAAGCGUGGGGAGCAAACAGG